AGUGAACGCUGGCGGUAGGCCUAACACAUGCAAGUCGAACGGCAGCACAGAGGAGCUUGCUCCUUGGGUGGCGAGUGGCGGACGGGUGAGGAAUACAUCGGAAUCUACUCUGUCGUGGGGGAUAACGUAGGGAAACUUACGCUAAUACCGCAUACGACCUACGGGUGAAAGCAGGGGAUCUUCGGACCUUGCGCGAUUGAAUGAGCCGAUGUCGGAUUAGCUAGUUGGCGGGGUAAAGGCCCACCAAGGCGACGAUCCGUAGCUGGUCUGCGAGGAUGAUCGGACACACUGGAACGGAGACACGGUCCAGACUCCUAAGGGGGGCAGCAGUGGGGAAUAUUGGACAAGGGGCGCAAGCCUGAUCCAGCCAUACCGCGUGGGUGAAGAAGGCCUUCGGGUUGUAAAGCCCUUUUGUUGGGAAAGAAAUCCAUCUGGUUAAUACCCGGGUGGGAUGACGGUACCCAAAGAAUAAGCACCGGCUAACUUCGUGCCAGCAGCCGCAGUAA
rnacentral:rRNA from 1 species